AAGGGUUUGACUGGACAACUUAACAUUGUGGAGUAAAUCGCAAAACCCUCUUAAGUUUGGAUAUUUGCGGACACCGUAGCUUACCUAUGGGCGGAGCACCGGAACAGAACGGAAGGCAGACAUUUAGGAGUAGAAGAUGGUGGCUUUGUCAGAUUGCUGCUGAAUUUGCUGUUGAAUCACUUCUGUCCCACUAAUUCAAACAUGUCAAAACUGGAUAGUUACUCCAGCAAGCUGGCCAGCAUCUCCCGUAGAGGAGGAGGAAUUGCAUAGAGGGCAUAAUAUUUGAAAAGUGAUGGCUACCAUUGAUGAGAAUGAUUCCAUCUCAACUCGGAGAGCUUGCAUUCUCAGAGCAUUUUCUCUGUAUCUUAAUGAAGAUUAUGAAAACCUCAUGAAGGAGUAUACUACUUUAAAAACUCAGAGAGAGAGAGAGAGAGAGAGAGAGAGAGACAUGGCCAAUACUCUCAUUUAUAAUCUACAUCGUCAGACCUGAAGGUGCAGAAGCCUGUGACCCACCAUCAGGUGUUGGACUGAUUGUUGAGGGAGUGAAAGUGCUUCAGAACCUUGGCGAUGUCACCAAGGCUUGUGCUCUUCUUUUGGGAGUCAUAUACAGCUUGAGUCUCAGUUAUCCUUCAGACCUGAAAUACACCUGAAUUUUUCCACAAAGUGUUGCUGGGACUUCAAGAACUCAAGAACAAACUUGGCUGAAUCAGUACAUCAUUCUGGACAAAUUAAAGAAAUAGAGGAAGAAGCUUUUUUUGUGACAUUUAAAUUGUUUCUGUUUUUAAAAUUAAUGUGAUGUUAUCUUUGUUGAUGGCACCAAAAUUUUAAAUGAAGUUCUGCAACUUUAAAUGGCUAAAUUGUUUGGUUAUUUACAAAGAUUAUAGGUCAGUUUUUAUCUUUUCAUUACUAAUGGCUCGAGCGAUUUCAGAUAUACAAAAUUGAACACUGGCAGUUUGUGACAUGCUGCCUGCCUUAAACUUCCCUUUUCUCUUUCCAAGUAAAAUGCUUUAUUUGCAGUUGCUCAUAGUAAAAUAACAUUUUGGUCAAUAAUAAACAUUUUUUUUUGUGUCUUUUUGAAGCGAAAUGUUAUUUUGGUGGGGGUUGUCAUAAAUAGAGGCCAGUUGUAUACUUUAACAAUCGCUUAAACAUUUUAAAAUAUCAGCAAUUAAGCAAUGUAGCGUUUCGUGACAGUAUUGAAAAAAAUAAUGUCCUUGCACAUUUUCUUUUUUAAAUUCGUAUUUGAAGAAAGUAGCACAUUGUAAGAAUGUUCACUAUUGACCAAAGUGUUUAAAAAAAAAUAAAAAAUACCUCUUCAAACUGC